rnacentral:rRNA from 1 species
UACGAAGGGGGCUAGCGUUGUUCGGAAUUACUGGGCGUAAAGGGCGCGUAGGUGGCCUGUUAAGUCGAACGUGAAAUCCCCGGGCUCAACCCGGGAACUGCGUCCGAGACUGGCAGGCUCGAAUCCGGGAGAGGGAUGUGGAAUUCCAGGUGUAGCGGUGAAAUGCGUAGAUAUGCGGAGGAACACCGGUGGCGAAGGCGGCAUCCUGGGACCAAUUCUGACGCUGAGGAGCGAAAGCCAGGGGAGCAAACGGG